GCCAGGCACUGUGGUGUAUGCCUGUAAUCCCAGUGGCUCAGGAGGCUGAGACAGGAGGAUCAUGAGUUCAAAGCCAGCCUCAGCAAAAGUGAGGUGCUAAGCAACUCAGUGAGACCCUGUCACUA
rnacentral:sRNA from 1 species